rnacentral:rRNA from 1 species
GUGAACGCUGGCGGUAGGCCUAACACAUGCCAGUCGAACGGCAGCACAGUAAGAGCUUGCUCUUACGGGUGGCGAGUGGCGGACGGGUGAGGAAUGCAUCGGAAUCUACUUUUUCGUGGGGAAUAACGUAGGGAAACUUACGCUAAUACCGCAUACGACCUACGGGUGAAAGCAGGGGAUCUUCGGACCUUGCGCGAUUGAAUGAGCCGAUGUCGGAUUAGCUAGUUGGCGGGGUAAAGGCCCACCAAGGCGACGAUCCGUAGCUGGUCUGAGAGGAUGAUCAGCCACACUGGAACUGAGACACGGUCCAGACUCCUACGGGAGGCAGCAGUGGGGAAUAUUGGACAAUGGGCGCAAGCCUGAUCCAGCCAUACCGCGUGGGUGAAGAAGGCCUUCGGGUUGUAAAGCCCUUUUGUUGGGAAAGAAAAGCAGCAGGUUAAUACCCCGCUGUUCUGACGGUACCCAAAGAAUAAGCACCGGCUAACUUCGUG